rnacentral:rRNA from 1 species
AUNUGAACGCUGGCGGCGUGCUUAACACAUGCAAGUCGAGCGCGAAAGUCUCUUCGGGGGCUAGUAGAGCGGCGGACGGGUGAGUAAUACGUGGAUAAUCUUCCCUCGAGCUUGGGAUAACCCUGCGAAAGUGGGGCUAAUACCGGAUAAGACACAUGUCAUAUGCCAUGUGGUAGAGGGUGGCUUAUAUUUAUAUGAGCUAUCACUUGAGGAUGAGUCCAUGGCCUAUCAGCUUGUUGGUGAGGUAAGAGCUCACCAAGGCUAUGACGGGUAGCUGGUCUGAGAGGACGACCAGCCACACUGGGACUGAGAUACGGCCCAGACUCCUACGGGAGGCAGCAGUGGGGAAUAUUGGGCAAUGGGCGAAAGCCUGACCCAGCGACGCCGCGUGGGUGAUGAAGCCUUCGGGUUGUAAAACCCUUUCGUGCGGAAAGAACAGUCUCGUAGGCGAAUACCUACGGGAUUUGACGGUA